UUAACUUAUUAAAAUAAGACGCUCAGAAUAUAAAAUAAAACAGAGUUUAGUGUACCGCCGGCGGGCCGCGGCUGGAGUUGGCAGUCCGCAACUACAGGGUAGCUGCAGGUGCCUCCAACCGAGCUUACGCCGAGGCAUAACUGGGUAGGUUAACAGAUGGUAUGGGAGUUGUAUAACUCUGUAAUGAUCCCUCCGCUGGUUCACCAACGGAGA
rnacentral:misc_RNA from 1 species